AGGCACCCGGCACUGGAAACACCGAGUCUUAGCCACUGGACCAGCAGGAAAGUUCGGAGAGAGGUACUCUAGCCACUGUGUAAAGAGCAUUGUUCUUCGUAGAUGGAAAGGAAGAUAAGGAAGCCCACAGACUUAAUGUGGUGGACUUGGGGUGCACCACCAGAGCCCCUCUCUGAGGCCAAUGCUGCUGUGAGUGCUGGUUGCUGAAGUCUGUCAGUCCCAGGAAUUCCGCUCCAGGAGUUGUCAUUGGCUACAGGGAGCUGCUUUUCCCAGAGUCCAGCUCCUCGCAUGUGGGCACAGGGGAAGCAGCUGCAAAGGACCACCAGCUCCAGAGUCACUGUGGGGUGAGCUGAGGCCUUCAUGGCGAAAGCGGAGCAGCUCAGCUUCUGCCUAUUCCUGUUGCCUUCUCACCCCCUCGAGGAUGACUCCAAGAGUACCCCCAAUAAGCCUCCUGUGAGAAAUCAUCUCAUAGACUAUUUCCUGGGGAGCCUGACCUAUGACACUUGGGCUAAAAAUAUUAGAAAGGAUGGCACGCAGUAUAGAGUGAGGGUCUUAAGUCCCCCUAUCUGUUUUUUUUCCCCAAGAAUCUGAUCCUCCUUGGUUAAAAUAGCUGAAGGGCUUUGGGAUAGCAAUUGCAAUCCAGGAAACCCAGGAAAAGAUAUUAAAAUGUAUGAAAAUGAUUAUAAUAAAUAAGAAAUGCAUUUUAGAAAAUUCUUUUUUAAAAAGCAGAAGCACCAAAAUAUCACUUUAAAAAUCAGACUUGUGGAAAAUAAGAAAUUUUACCCGGGAGACUAUUAUUAUUAGAAACUCUGAGACCAAAGAUCAGUGUUAGGACCUUGAUACUUUUGGGGUUUUUUUUUUUUUUGGAUGUGAAUUGCUUUGUAUAAUAAAUGCUUAGUGAUUGAGGCAGGCACCUUAUCAUGGUCACUGAGGCUGAGGGGGAUGGAAGGAUAAAGGGACAACAAGUGAGCUUCCGGUGAGAAAACUGGGGUACCAGGGAGGUCUGCCCUGUGUGAACCUCACUGGGACUGUAAUUUUUAAAACUUAUUCUUCAAAGGAUUUAUCUUAUAAUAGCAUUCAGUGACUGUUUCCUUCAACACAGAGUUAUAAUGAGAAUCCUUACAGUUAGUCUUGAUAAGGCAGGGUAUAUGUAUCAAAAUUCAGAGUAAGACUCUUUUUUUCACUUAAAAACAGACCUUUACUGGAACUCUUUAGAAAUUAUUUUAUAUAAGUUAAAUCUCAAAGUGUUAUCAUUAUAAAUAAAAGUCAAGCAAUGAAAGAGGACAUUAAAAUAAACAGUUAAAUGCCCUUCUCAGGGAUGCUACUGUUCUCAGCUGGCUUUCCGACCCUUUACUAAGGGUGAUGUAGCUAUUCCUGGUGGAGAAGGCAAUGGAAACCCACUCCAGUGUUCUUGCCUGGAGAAUCCCAGGGACAGGGGAGCCUGGUGGGCAGCUGUCUAUGGGGUCGCACAGAGUCGGACACGACUGAAGCGACUUAGUAGCAGCAGCAGCUAUUCUUGGACUUAUGCAUGUAUAUGGCUUGUCUUUCCAUUUAUU